AUUGAACGCUGGCGGCAUGCCUUACACAUGCAAGUCGAACGGCAGCACGGGUGCUUGCACCUGGUGGCGAGUGGCGAACGGGUGAGUAAUACAUCGGAACGUACCUUAUCGUGGGGGAUAACGCGGCGAAAGCUGUGCUAAUACCGCAUACGCCCUGAGGGGGAAAGCGGGGGAUCGAAAGACCUCGCGCGAUUAGAGCGGCCGAUGCCUGAUUAGCUUGUUGGUGGGGUAAAAGCCCACCAAGGCGACGAUCAGUAGCUGGUCUGAGAGGACGAUCAGCCACACUGGGACUGAGACACGGCCCAGACUCCUACGGGAGGCAGCAGUGGGGAAUUUUGGACAAUGGGGGCAACACUGAUCCAGCAAUGCCGCGUGAGUGAAGAAGGCCUUCGGGUUGUAAAGCUCUUUUGUCAGGGAAGAAACACCGGCUCUAACACAGUCCGGGAAUGACGGUACCUGAAGAAUAAGCACCGGCUAACUACGUGCCAGCAGCCGCAGUAA
rnacentral:rRNA from 1 species